CAAGUACCUUCCACUGCAUCAGGGAACACUCUUGCUUUCUGGCUUCCAGCAGUACAGUGGAACAGAAAAUUGAAGUCAUAGAUUACUAUGAGGACACCGAUGAUACAGAACCAUCUACCAAGAAUGUGAGACUCAGGCUGCCUAUACCCAGCCAUGGGUUCAGAACAAAUGGCAAUGAUUCAACUUGGUUCAGAAGUAAGAGCCUGAGUCCUGCUGUGGAAUGUACAUGUUGUGAAAUUCCAGCACAUUAUGAGAACACAAACUUUUUCUCUUACCAGUGGGAUUUAUCAGCACAGAAUCUUUUACUUGAAGCCAGCAAAAUUUUCAGCGUAGGCAGGAGCAGUGUAAUGAGCCUCUGUUCAUGAAUAAAGGAGUUUUUCACCUGCUGA